rnacentral:sRNA from 1 species
AACCAUUUGAAAGGAGGUGAUCCAGUGUCUAGAGUGAUAUUGGAGAGACGUGUCGGGACAGCUUGCGGGGGUGUUUUCUGAGGGCAGCCCCUCCUAAAACGCACCGGAAGUUGGGCUAGCUCCUAACUGGCUCAUCUCCUUGGAUCUCGGAAAGGGUCGCCAGCCUUGGCGACCCU